rnacentral:rRNA from 1 species
GACGAACGCUGGCGGCGUGCUUAACACAUGCAAGUCGAACGAGGUGGCGAACGGGUGAGUAACGCGUAAUCAACCUGCCCUUCAGAGGGGGACAACAGUUGGAAACGACUGCUAAGACCGCAUACUGAAGGAGGGUGAUGCGGCUGAUUAGCUGUGUGGAGGGGUGACGGCCCACCAAGGCGAUGGUAAGUAGCCGGUCUGAGAGGAGGACCGGACACAUUGGGACUGGGACACGGCCCAGACCCCUACGGGAGGCAGCAGUGGGGAAUCGUCCGCAAUGGACGAAAGUCUGACGGAGCAACGCCGCGGGAGUGAUGACGGCCUUCGGGUUGUAAAGCUCUGUUAAUCGGGACGCGGUACCGGAAUAGAAAGCCACGGCUAACUACGUGCCAGCAGCCGCGGUAAUAC